ensembl:lincRNA
GUGCUUGGAUGAAUGCUGUUAAUGAUGUGUGAAGCCAUCUAUGUGAGAUUUUAUUCUGUUGUAUUUGUCUUCAUAAAGCACAGUGAUUAGAAUCCACAGAAACCUCAUGCAUCCAUUUUUACAUUCAAAUCUCAGACAGUGGUCAUUUGUUGGAACAUUUCUUGAAGGUGUGGAGAUUUACAAAGUGAUCAUUGCAGUAGCUGAGCUUCUGUCCACAAGUGACAUCUUCUAGUCCUCCAGCUUUGACACCAGGGGCUUUUCUGUCUUCUAUUAUGAGAUAAAUGCUGACAGUCACCUGUGAAACAAAUAGUGAAAGCCACUUUCUUUUGUUUUGGUUUUUUUGAGACAGGGUCUCACUAUGUAGCUGAGACAGACCAGGAACUCACUGUGUAGCCCAGGCUGGUCUCGAACUCACAGCGAUCCUCCUGUCUCAGCCUCCCAAUUCCUGGGAUUACAGGCAUGCGCCACCACUCCUGGCAUGAAAGUCAUUUUUGAUUUCUUUAUUUUUUUUCAUAUGCUAAGCAGUUACUCAAUGUUACAGCCUCCUGCUCUUCUCCCUUUUCCUCCUCCUCUUCUUUUUAUUUUCUCCUCCUCUUCUUGCUCUGCCUUCUCCUCCUCCCCAAUUCCUUGUACAAAGGAAACGAGAAUGAGCUCCCCUCCCUGAGGCCUGUCGUGCAGCACAUCUUGGAUGUUGUCCAGUGUGACUUGAACCCACAGCAACAUUCAGGGCUCUGCUCUUCACUAAUUGACCUUUCACCCCACCUGGCCUUCAGCCUCUCCACUUACUGCUCCUAAAUCACAGAGCUCCGUGUUCAUGUAACACUUGCUUUCCCAGGGUCAUCCGAAGUUUUCCCAACACGGGGCUGUGCAUUUAUUUCCCUAGUACACAUCCACACCGUGCCUUGUGACCUUUGACACACCCUUUUCACGCUUCAUGAUGAAGGCACGCAGGCUGGUGAACAGAGAGGCGAACUUGGUGUGGUACCCUUGGUGUCCUUGCCACAGCUGCCAAGACAGCCUUGGUCUCAUUGCCGCUCCAGACUUCGUCCGUCGUCCUGCAGCCUGGCCUGUCCCACCUACGCAAGAGCAGUUCCAUGCCUUAAACCUUUGUGCAAAACUUCAGAGUCUCCUAUGCUGUUCCCUUUUCAUUGAACAGAACUUUUGUCUCCCUGAAACUGACAAAUCAUACAAAACUUCUCGGCAGUAUGGCAUUCAUGGGUGUGCGAUUCCUAAGGCCCUGUGAAGACAUCCGGGGACAGUGGCUGGCUCCAACAUCCAGUGUUUAGGCUGACACUGUGAAACUCUUUCUUAUUCAUGAGGACAUUUUUCGCAGCCUUCAUGUUUAUCCAACAUGACUCGCCAGUAUGAUCAGGGCGAUUAAGUUUCGAUCUUCAAUUUCCUCGUGUCUUUGAAACCUCACGAUGAGGGCAAAGGAAAAACAGUGAGUGACAAAGUUCUUUUCCCUGAAAAGUCAAAUAAAAAAACGGACUAGGAUCCUUUUACAUUACGUUUGAAGUAUUCCCUUAUAUUGGAUUUAUUAAAAUCUCAGGAGUUAAUCAUUAGCUCUGGAAAAGAAGCACCGCUGUUUUUCAAAGAAUAUGCAAUAAAACAUGAAGAGACUUUCUGGCCAUUGUGAAAAGUCUUGGGUGGGUAGAGGCCUUUGUUCACUUUUCCCCCUGAUGCUGAAUCAGGGUGUGGCCUCUUGUCUAGGACUGCAGCUCCUCCA